rnacentral:pre_miRNA from 1 species
GCUUUAAACCAAAGCUCGGCGCUAAGAUCUCUGGCUCCGACCUCGGCGCCAAGAUCUGUGGCGCCGAGCUCGACGCCAGGCCACAUGGCGCCUUGGUCAGCGCCCAGAUC